UGCAUAGAACCGCACAGUGCUUUCAGGUGUCUGCUCAGCCCCCUGCCUGCCUUGUGUAUCUGGACCAAUACAUGUAUUAAAGCAUGAUAGCCUACCAAAUCUGAAUCCAUGGUUUCUAUCAGGGAUCAGGUAUCAUCUAUUAUCAGCAGCUGAUGUCAGUAUCAGAAAGCUCCUGUUGGAAGUUCAGCCCAAAUCCUGCUGACCUUGGAGGAGAUUUGAGACUGUUUCCACGUGCGUGAAGUGUUCUUGAACAAUUUUCCUGAUGUGUCAGGCCUGAGUAAGUUUUCCAUUAAUUUCAGGCAGUCUUCA
rnacentral:lncRNA from 1 species